GCCCUCGGCCUCGCUCUUGCGCACGGGACCACAAUGCUCCGCGCCGCUUGUCAUUGGGAGGCGCCGAAGGUGGAGAGGUCGGCUCGGAAGGAAAAGAUCACUCACUCUUGGGGGCAUCCAGCAGCCAUGUUGUGAGGACACUCAAGCAGCUGUGAAGAGGUGCACCUGGAGAGGAACUGAGGCCUCCCACCAAAACCAAGCACUGACAUGCCACUCAUGGCAAUCACAGGAAUAUAUAAAACAUGAGCAGAAAGAGGCCUUUGGAGAAAUCUGGACCAGCAUUCUCAUUUUACGGAUGAGGGACCACGGCCCAUGGAGGUUUCCAUAGAUGAUUGGAAAAACCCAAGAGUUGGUCCUCUGUUCCAGACCCCACACAGACACAAACCUACAAGCCAAGGGAGCCAGUAUUUGGCCAUUCGUCCAUCCAUCUGCAUGUCCCAGGGAUGCACGAACAGGGAACACUUCAGCCUUUCGGCUGCCUUCAAAGAAGCAAUGAGAGAGAGAGAGAGGGUUACUUUGAUGAGUGAGCAGAUACCAGGUACUGUUUUGGGGAAACUGCUUUUCUCUGAGUCUAUAUUGGUCUGCACAAAUAAACUAAAAUGCUUUUUAAGUUGUUUUAUGAUCUAUAUAGAAGAGAUAUUGACAAACUUCUCCUGCUUAGAAAAUAAAAGGGACACUUGGAAUUAACAAAGGGGGUUGGUAGAUUUACCAUUGAGGUUGAUGAACUUAAUAUAUCAUCUGGUAAAACAAGCGUCAGGAAAUAUCCAUCAUUCAAAUGUUUUGGCUGACAGCAAAAUGCUCAAGGACUAAUCCCACAGCUGAAAUGUAGGGGAAAAUUUCCCCUACAUUUGGCUCCUUCUGGCUCCUACUUGGUCUACACUUUUGGAAGGACUGCUGAGAUUGUAUCCUUGGAGUCAGGGCGAGAGUGCCCCCUCCUUUUCCCCACUUGGAAACCAGAGUUUGUGGAAAGUGAAGAAGUGAUGUGCUGGAGCCAGAGGCUCAGUGCUGGGCUGGGGCUGGCUGGCCUGACCCAAGCCACCUGGUUACUCAGAGCCCAGCACUGGGUGGAAUCCCUGGGGUCUACAGGCAUUCACCCAUCCCCAGAAGCCCAGAUGAGUCUCUGAACAGUUGGCUGUGAGUGAGAUGACCUCAGAAAUGGAAGAGGUCAGUGCCUUAGCCAGACAGGCACUGACAUGAAUGUCAUAGGCAUGCUCCAGGGCCUUCUGAGAAAUGGAAAUACCAUCUGGAUGGAAUGACCUUUAUGCAACAAAAAGUUUAAUUAAAAGAAGUCUCCUCAACAGGCAUUGAAUAUUAGUGCUCGUCAAGAUUCAAAAGAGAUUUCCCUUAGAAUAAUUCCUCACCACAUAUAUUGAGGUUCUGGAGUGAUUCAUCCUACCCUCAUACAUAAAUGUUUGUGCUAACCAGGCUGAUGCAAUGUGACUUGUGUACAUAAGCAUUUUUAAAAUGGAAAAGCAAUUCUGGGACAACAAGGGAUUCUGGAAGUGUCAGGAAAAGGGAGGGAAAUAAAAAAUUAAAAAAUGCAAUUGAGUAAAGAAUUAUGCAUCAUGAAUCCUGGUACUGAGAUGAGAAGGUUUGGUUAUAGAAAGAGUUGAAAGUGGAGGAGGAAGAAGAAGACUGAUGGAGAUGACUGUGGAACUAUGGACACUUGAAGUUGGAUAUUUCAGAAAUGAAUGGCACUGAAUUUUUGAACAUACAUUUUACCAUGAGAUAUUUUAAGUAUAGAAAGUAUAAACAAUAACACAAUGAGCAUCCCUAUA
rnacentral:lncRNA from 10 species